rnacentral:lncRNA from 1 species
UUGGGGUAGUUCAGGACGUCGCUAUGGGAGUUAACGGGGAUGGCCAUAGGUAUAAUGGAUGUAUUUACAUCUUCAGGCCUAUCACUAUGGUUCGAGUCCCUAGGAGCCUGACUACUGUCACUACUACUUGACCCUGUGCUAUCACUACUCGACAUUAUGCUAUAAUCAAAUAAAACAACUUAAGGGCUCGAACUCUUACCUCUGUGGAUAGUCGCUCACAAACCCUACUAAUCCCCGACCUCGAGCUCGAUUUACUGGGAGUUGAGAGUUAAAAGUGAAAAAAUGAGAGUGAAAAUUGGGAUAUUUAUAGGGGACUGAGGAAUACCAACGGUCAUGCAAUCUCACC